rfam:Schistosoma rodhaini strain Burundi genome assembly, scaffold: SROB_scaffold0001283
AUCUUUUUGAAUCCGUGUAGAGAUUUCGUCGGACACCAACCCAUCAGGGCUGACCAGACGUCCAAGAUAAGUGAGGUU